rnacentral:rRNA from 1 species
GACGAACGCUGGCGGCGUGCCUAAUGCAUGCAAGUAGAACGCUGAAGGAGGAGCUUGCUUCUCUGGAUGAGUUGCGAACGGGUGAGUAACGCGUAGGUAACCUGCCUGGUAGCGGGGGAUAACUAUUGGAAACGAUAGCUAAUACCGCAUAAUAGUAGAUGUUGCAUGACAUUUGCUUAAAAGGUGCAAUUGCAUCACUACCAGAUGGACCUGCGUUGUAUUAGCUAGUUGGUGGGGUAACGGCUCACCAAGGCGACGAUACAUAGCCGACCUGAGAGGGUGAUCGGCCACACUGGGACUGAGACACGGCCCAGACUCCUACGGGAGGCAGCAGUAGGGAAUCUUCGGCAAUGGACGGAAGUCUGACCGAGCAACGCCGCGUGAGUGAAGAAGGUUUUCGGAUCGUAAAGCUCUGUUGUAAGAGAAGAACGAGUGUGAGAGUGGAAAGUUCACACUGUGACGGUAUCUUACCAGAAAGGGACGGCUAACUACGUGC